rnacentral:rRNA from 1 species
UGCACUCACCGAUAAAGAGUUUAGUGGCGAACGGGUGAGUAACACGUGGGCAACCUGCCCAAAAGAGGGGGAUAACACUUGGAAACAGGUGCUAAUACCGCAUAACCAUAGUUACCGCAUGGUAACUAUGUAAAAGGUGGCUAUGCUACCGCUUUUGGAUGGGCCCGCGGCGCAUUAGCUAGUUGGUGGGGUAAAGGCUUACCAAGGCAAUGAUGCGUAGCCGAACUGAGAGGUUGAUCGGCCACAUUGGGACUGAGACACGGCCCAAACUCCUACGGGAGGCAGCAGUAGGGAAUCUUCCACAAUGGGCGAAAGCCUGAUGGAGCAACGCCGCGUGGGUGAAGAAGGUCUUCGGAUCGUAAAACCCUGUUGUUAGAGAAGAAAGUGCGUGAGAGUAACUGUUCACGUUUCGACGGUAUCUAACCAGAAAGCCACGGCUAACUACGUGCCAGCAGCCGCGGUAAUACGUAGGUGGCAAGCGUUAUCCGGAUUUAUUGGGCGUAAAGGGAACGCAGGCGGUCUUUUAAGUCUGAUGUGAAAGCCUUCGGCUUAACCGGAGUAGUGCAUUGGAAACUGGGAGACUUGAGUGCAGAAGAGGAGAGUGGAACUCCAUGUGUAGCGGUGAAAUGCGCAGAUAUAUGGAAGAACACCAGUGGCGAAAGCGGCUCUCUGGUCUGUAACUGACGCUGAGGUUCGAAAGCGUGGGUAGCAA